rnacentral:miRNA from 1 species
UCUUGAUUUAUGCAUAUAUGUGUGUGUGUGUGUGUGUGUGUGUGUGUGUGUAUAUAUACACACACACAUACCCACAUUUACACACAUAUAUGAUGUAUUUU